UACGGAGGGAGCUAGCGUUGUUCGGAAUUACUGGGCGUAAAGCGCGCGUAGGCGGCUUUGUAAGUUAGAGGUAAGAGCCCGGAGCUCAACUCCGGAACUGCCUUUAAAACUGCAUCGCUUGAAUCCAGGAGAGGUGAGUGGAAUUCCGAGUGUAGAGGUGAAAUUCGUAGAUAUUCGGAAGAACACCAGUGGCGAAGGCGGCUCACUGGACUGGUAUUGACGCUGAGGUGCGAAAGCGUGGGGAGCAAACAGG
rnacentral:rRNA from 1 species